GACGAACGCUGGCGGCGUGCCUAAUACAUGCAAGUCGAACGCAGUGGGGACGGGUGAGUAACACGUGGGUAACCUCCCAUCAGAGGGGAUAACACUUGGAAACAGGUGCUAAACCGAUACUGAUGGAUGGACCCGCGGUGCAUUAGCUAGUUGGUGAGGUAACGGCUCACCAAGGCCACGAUGCAUAGCCGGCCUGGGAGGGUGAUCCGCCACACUUGGGCUGAGAAACGGCCCAGAAUCCUACGGGAGGGAGGAGGAGGGAAGCUUCGGCAAUGGACGAAAGUCUGACCGAGCAAAGCCGCGGGAGUGAAGAAGGUUUUCGGAUCGUAAAACUCUGUUGGUAGGGAAGCGGUAACUAACCAGGAAGGCACCGCUAACUACGGGCCAGCAGCCGCGGUAAUUC
rnacentral:rRNA from 1 species